rnacentral:rRNA from 1 species
UACAGAGGGUGCGAGCGUUGUCCGGAAUCACUGGGCGUAAAGGGCGCGUAGGCGGUGACUUAAGCGUGUGGUGAAAGCUCGGGGCUCAACCCCGAGUCGGCCGUGCGAACUGGGUCACUGGAGCAGAUCAGAGGCAGGCGGAAUUCCGGGUGUAGCGGUGAAAUGCGUAGAUAUCUGGCGGAACACCAGUGGCGAAGGCGGCAUCCUGGACCGGUAUUGACGCUGAGGCGCGAAAGCCAGGGGAGCAAACGGG